AAUCCCGGGGUAGCAAUACCUCGGGGGAAGUGGCGAAAGGGGCAGUAAUACAUGGAUAACCUACCCUGGGGAUGGGCAUAGCCGUUCUAACGAGCGGGUAAUACCCAGCGAUUCGGCGGCGGUGGCAUCAUCGCACCGGGAAAUGAAUUUCGCCUCGGGAGGGGUCCAUGCGAUAUCAGCUAGUUGGUGGGGUAACGGCCCACCAAGGCUUAGACGUCUAGCGGGUGUGAGAGCACGACCCGCGCCACUGGCACUGAGACACUGGCCAGACACCUACGGGUGGCUGCAGUCGAGGAUCUUCGUCAAUGGGCGCAAGCCUGAACGAGCGAUGCCGCGUGAGCGAUGAAGGCCUUCGGGUUGUAAAGCUCAAAAGGGGUGAGAAAGGGAAACUUGAUCGAACCCCAGUAAGCUCGGGCUAAGUUCGUGCCAGCAGCCGCGGUAAGACGAACCGAGCGAACGUUGUUCGGAAUCACUGGGCUUAAAGGGUGCGUAGGCGGGUGCUCAAGUCUGUGGUGAAAUCCUCCGGCUCAACCGGAGAACUGCCAUGGAUACUGGGUGCCUCGAGGGUGGUAGGGGUAUGCGGAACUAUCGGUGGAGCGGUGAAAUGCGUUGAUAUCGAUAGGAACUCCGGUGGCGAAGGCGGCAUACUGGACCACUUCUGACGCUGAGGCGCGAAAGCCAGGGGAGCGAACGGGAUUAGAUACCCCGGUAGUCCUGGCCCUAAACGAUGGGUACUAGCUAGUAGGGUUCACAUGGCUUUACUGGCGAAGCAAAAGUGCUAAGUACCCCGCCUGGGGAGUAUGGUCGCAAGGCUGAAACUCAAAGGAAUUGAC
rnacentral:rRNA from 1 species